CAUAACGGAUUGGAAUGUUCAUAUGGAAGGGAAUGGACGGGAUUGAGAAAUUGGUGGAAAUUGAAUGGACACCCUGUUACAAAAGAAGAGGAAAGGAUUAAAUGAAUGUCUCUCAUAUUGAGAUAAGAAACGAAGAGGAAGCAACAGCAACAACGCCGCCAGCAGUGGAACCAGAGGCACCGACUACAUCACUGGCUGUCACAGAAAAAAGGAGUACAGUGUCCCAGAACCUUGUUGAG